rnacentral:rRNA from 1 species
UACGGAGGGUGCAAGCGUUAUCCGGAUUCACUGGGUUUAAAGGGUGCGUAGGCGGGCCUGUAAGUCAGUGGUGAAAUCUUCCCGCUUAACGGGAAAACUGCCAUUGAUACUAUAGGUCUUGAAUUCAGUUGAGGUGGGCGGAAUGUGUCGUGUAGCGGUGAAAUGCUUAGAUAUGACACAGAACACCGAUUGCGAAGGCAGCUCGCUAAACUGACAUUGACGCUGAGGCACGAAAGCGUGGGGAUCAAACAGG